ACGUAGGGAGCAAGCGUUAUCCGGAUUUAUUGGGUGUAAAGGGUGCGUAGACGGGAGAACAAGUUAGUUGUGAAAUCCCUCGGCUUAACUGAGGAACUGCAACUAAAACUAUUUUUCUUGAGUGCUGGAGAGGAAAGUGGAAUUCCUAGUGUAGCGGUGAAAUGCGUAGAUAUUAGGAGGAACACCAGUGGCGAAGGCGACUUUCUGGACAGUAACUGACGUUGAGGCACGAAAGUGUGGGGAGCAAACAG
rnacentral:rRNA from 1 species